UGCCAGCCGCCGCGGUAAUACGGAGGGUGCAAGCGUUGUUCGGAAUUAUUGGGCGUAAAGCGCGUGUAGGCGGUUCGUUAAGUCUGAUGUGAAAGCCCGGGGCUCAACCCCGGAAGUGCAUUGGAAACUGGCGAACUUGAGUACGGGAGAGGAAAGUGGAAUUCCGAGUGUAGGGGUGAAAUGCGUAGAUAUCUGGAGGAACAUCAGUGGCGAAGGCGACUCUCUGGCCAAAGACUGACGCUCAUGUGCGAAAGUGUGGGUAGCGAACAGGAUUAGAUA
rnacentral:rRNA from 1 species